rnacentral:rRNA from 1 species
UACAGAGGGGGCAAGCGUUAUUCGGAAUUAUUGGGCGUAAAGGGCGCGUAGGCGGCUUGGCAAGUGGAUGGUGAAAUCCCUCGGCUUAACCGAGGAACUGCCAUCCAGACUGCUUUGCUUGAGGCCGGGAGAGGUAAGUGGAAUUCCCAGUGUAGCGGUGAAAUGCGUAGAUAUUGGGAGGAACACCAGUGGCGAAGGCGGGUCUCUGGGCCGAUACUGACGCUGAGGAGCGAAAGCGUGGGGAGCGAACAGG